UGUCUCUGAACAUUUGGUUAACAAUAUACAGUUUAUCGACUACGAGAGCGCGUUUCCCUUUCAAUCUAUUUCCCUUGAAGAUUGGAUACAGAACUUUGCGCCGUUCUGCAAUUUCCUUCGGGAACUGAUCAUUCAUGUCUAUUUUCGUGGCAGCAAGUCUUUUAACAAUUAUUUUAUCUUUAAAGAAAGCUAAUUAGGAACGAACGAUUGGGCGUUCAUACCUCUGCCAGAAACGGUGUACACGUUCGCGUUGGAUUAUGUCCAUAGUUUCGCUUGGGAUCCGAAGCGCUGUAAGGAGCAACUCCCUAACUACACCCUGAGUCAGGAACUUCUUCUUUCUCUUGGAUACCUUGAUAUCAUCAGUGGUAACUACAACCAGUCUACAACCCAGGGAAGUGGCAGCUCCGGGCAGUGACAUCACCCUUAGCUGCUCUUUCCCUUCGUCUAAAAACCUGAACCUCAACAACCUGGUCGUCAACUGGCAGCAUGGAGAAUCAGUGGUGGUCCACAGUUAUUACCAUGGGAGAGAUCAGCUGGAAAGACAGUGUUGUUUACAAGGGACGAACUCUUCUGUUUGAAGACCAGCUCACUGUGGGAAAUGCCUCAUUUAGACUGAGUGGUGUGCAGCUGAGUGACCAGGGCCCAUACACCUGUGAUGUGAUGGAUGAACAGGGAAGCACCCAGGAAAAGCUACAACUUUUAGUGGCAGCCCCUUAUGAUGAGACCAGGAUAUCUGCCCAAGCCACUUGUGAUGGCUUCAUUGUCACCCUCCAUGCCUCUCAGGGGUUUCCCCAGCCAGAGGUAAUGUGGAAAGGUGUGAUGGACAGUAACACCACUACGGAGUUGGACAGCAGGGGGCACUAUGAGCUGGAGAGUGAGGUGACCCUGAGGCUGAACAGCACACUGACUGUUACAACUGAGACUGAGGGUUCUGGACCAGAGUUUCACCAAGUAUCUCAUACUCCACCUACCACCAGUUUGUACCUAGUCCAUUGGGAUAUGAUGAUACCAUACUUGCACAAUGGCCUUUGACCAUGGGCUUCUCUGGAGUAAGCUUGUGCCGUGAUGCCUGCUGAGCAGAGGAGCAGAUUGUUGAUGUAUCCCCUGCUGCUAACGCUGCUGGGAUUGGUGCUCCUGUUAUCCUGGAAGAGGUCUGAGCAGGAGACCAAAAAGGAUACGAAAACAGAAGAAUAGAAUAGCCUUCAGUCCAUGGUCACUCAAUAGACUUUAUGCCAGAGCAACUAUUAUUGCUUGUUUACAGAGAAAACAUAAAGGGAGGACAUUUACACUUUAGUGUCAUUUUGUAAAAUCUAAACUACAAUACUUUAUACACAAAAUUCAGCAUGAUACAGUUGACACACUGUAGUGUCAGACAAUACAGUUGACAUACUCACUAUACGACAGACAAUGGGAGUUGCAAACCACACCACUAAAGGGUCAGAUGUACCUCUAUUCUGAAUUUGGUUCCUCUUAAGGUUUCUUCUUUGUAGGGAGUUUUUGUUUGCUGCUACUUGUCAGCGGUUUAGCCCACGUUACUGUGUAAAUCACCUUUGACCUUUGCCUUACUGGUCUUCAUAAAUGACAUGUAUUUAUUGAUUGAAAUGAUGGCAGCAACAGCGUCUAAUGAAAAUUGUUACGUGUGUUCCAGGCAAUGUGUCAUACUUUCCAGAAUUUGUUAUUUUGUAAUAAAAGGAGAUGAACCCCCAA